rnacentral:rRNA from 1 species
CAGUAGCCACGGUAAGACAGAGGAUGCAAGCGUUAUCCGGAAUGAUUGGGCGUAAAGCGUGCGUAGGCGGCUUCUUAAGUCGGAUGUGAAAUCCCUGAGCUUAACUUAGGAAUUGCAUUCGAUACUGGGAAGCUAGAGUAUGGGAGAGGAUGGUAGAAUUCCAGGUGUAGCGGUGAAAUGCGUAGAGAUCUGGAGGAAUACCGAUGGCGAAGGCAGCCAUCUGGCCUAAUACUGACGCUGAGGUACGAAAGCAUGGGGAGCAAACAGGAUUAGAUACCCGCGUAGUCCCUGUCUCUUAUAC